AAUAUAUUUUGUAUUCUUUUAAAAAUGUGAAUUCUACAGAGAAGAUUAGCAUGGCCCCUGCGCGAGGAUGACAAGCAAAUUUGUGAAGCGUUCCAUAUUUUU